rnacentral:miRNA from 2 species
AUUGUUACACCGCGCCGCAAAAG